CAGGGGUUAGUUUAUAAAAAUAUCAGUUUUGGGGACUGAGGAUAGAGGAACUAUCUCUACCCCUGA
rnacentral:tRNA from 1 species